GCUGAUGCGUUGUUGGGUAGGGGAGCGUUCUGUAAGCCUGCGAAGGUGACCUGUGAGGGUUGCUGGAGGUAUCAGAAGUGCGAAUGCUGACAUAAGUAACGAUAAAGCGGGUGAAAAGCCCGCUCGCCGGAAGACCAAGGGUUCCUGUCCAACGUUAAUCGGGGCAGGGUGAGUCGACCCCUAAGGCGAGGCCGAAAGGCGUAGUCGAUGGGAAACGGGUUAAUAUUCCCGUACUUGGUGUUACUGCGAAGGGGGGACGGAGAAGGCUAUGUUGGCCGGGCGACGGUUGUCCCGGUUUAAGCGUGUAGGUGUGUGUUCCAGGUAAAUCCGGUUCACUUUAACACUGAGGCGUGACGACGAGGCACUACGGUGCUGAAGCAACAAAUGCCCUGCUUCCAGGAAAAGCCUCUAAGCAUCAGGUAACAUCAAAUCGUACCCCAAACCGACACAGGUGGUCAGGUAGAGAAUACCAAGGCGCUUGAGAGAACUCGGGUGAAGGAACUAGGCAAAAUGGUGCCGUAACUUCGGGAGAAGGCACGCUGACACGUAGGUGAAGUGAUUUACUCAUGGAGCUGAAGUCAGUCGAAGAUACCAGCUGGCUGCAACUGUUUAUUAAAAACACAGCACUGUGCAAACACGAAAGUGGACGUAUACGGUGUGACGCCUGCCCGGUGCCGGAAGGUUAAUUGAUGGGGUCAGCGCAAGCGAAGCUCCUGAUCGAAGCCCCGGUAAACGGCGGCCGUAACUAUAACGGUCCUAAGGUAGCGAAAUUCCUUGUCGGGUAAGUUCCGACCUGCACGAAUGGCGUAAUGAUGGCCAGGCUGUCUCCACCCGAGACUCAGUGAAAUUGAACUCGCUGUGAAGAUGCAGUGUACCCGCGGCAAGACGGAAAGACCCCGUGAACCUUUACUAUAGCUUGACACUGAACAUUGAGCCUUGAUGUGUAG
rnacentral:rRNA from 2 species